GACAGAGGGUGCAAACGUUGUUCGGAAUUACUGGGCGUAAAGCGCGCGUAGGCGGCUUUGUAAGUUAGAGGUGAAAGCCCGGAGCUCAACUCCGGAACUGCCUUUAAAACUGCAUCGCUUGAAUCCAGGAGAGGUGAGUGGAAUUCCGAGUGUAGAGGUGAAAUUCGUAGAUAUUCGGAAGAACACCAGUGGCGAAGGCGGCUCACUGGACUGGUAUUGACGCUGAGGUGCGAAAGCGUGGGGGAGCGAACAGG
rnacentral:rRNA from 1 species